UCUGGUGUUCUGCCUAGUACUGAGGCUCCAAAUAAUCACCCUCUGGUGCCUUCUCUUUCUGGGGCUCUUCCGACUGCUGAGACUUCUCCUGAGCAACCUUUAUGAAGGCUCCCUCUUGUUUGUUUAUUUUAAUUCAUGUAUAUGUACAUAUUUGUAACUUAUCGGAGAUAUCAAUAAACAAGCUUUGCUUCAUUUCAACGUAUUGUGUUAAAUACGCCAAGGCCUUCUUCACUAAGUUCUUUGAAUUUUUCCUUUUGUUGAAUCUUGUAUGUUGAAGCUUUAUAAGUGAAGCAUGUAGGUUGAGGUAGUAAUCUCUUAAUUUCCCGAGUGAGAAAAACUUCUCGUUUGGAGACUUGAAAAAAUCCAAGUCACUGAGUGGUCAUGAGACUUCCGAGUAUCAAGGUACAGUAGCAUAUGGUAGGAGUCCCCCAAGUCUCCGGUCGAGGGAGUUGAUGAAGGAGGUGUCUUGCUAGUAGCUAAGUUUCCAAAGUAACAAAACUUCACCAUUUUCCUUUCUAAGUGGUAGCCCAAAACUCCUCCUUCAUAUAUAUUUGUUAUGAAAGUUGUUAGGCCCAAAGAAGAGGAGGCCUAAGCAAUUUUUU
rnacentral:lncRNA from 1 species